GGUUACCUCUCCUGCUGACAUGGAGUCGCGGAAAGGGAAGGGCUCUGGUCUUAGAAAAUUCUGGGUUUGAAUUGCAGUUUCACCACUUACUCAAUUUGUGACCUCGGAGGAAUCUCUGAUUUAUAUUUCCAUUUCUGAAGUAAGUUCACAAGAUGAUUCUAAGCAUAUAAAAGUGCUCCGCAGACUGUGGGCCCCUGUUAUGCCCUGACAAGGACUGGCUCAAACUUCCAAGGCCGGCUCAGCACAGGACACAGAGGCCCCCCAUCUGCUGGGCACCGCCCAGUGGAGAACAGGACAGGUGUGUCUCUUGGCCCCCAGGGGAACCUCCGAUCCUAGUGAACCAGAGCAGCAGCAGCCUAACUGGGACUCUGAAUCAAGGUUCUGGAGAAGACUACAGGAAACUUGGGAAGGCAAAUAUCCGGUCGUAUUUCUCAUUCAUUCACUCACUCAUUCAUUCAACAAACAUUCACUGAGCAGCAACAGCAUGCCAGGCAUUGCGUUAGGUGGAACCCCAAAUGAUGAAAGAAGAGAGCCUCUGCAUAGUCCAGGAGUAAAGCUUGUGUGUACACGCAUGUGCAAGGGGUCUGUGCCAGCUGUCACUCACCCAGGCAGCCUGUACGCUCGCCGUGUUCGCCCAUCUCCUGUCCAUGUACAUCAAAGGAGACCCAGAGGUUCCCGGAGCUGGGGAGCCCUGCUGCCAGGAGCCCCGGGCACUGGUGCUGAUCCUGUCCCCUGUGUGAUCUGGGCCAGUGGCUGCCCUCCAUGGCUCCAGGCCAGCCGUGGGAAGCAGCGGGCCAGCAGCUGGGGACUCAGGAGAGGCAGGCCCUGCCUACAUGUGCUCGCCUUGGUCGCUGUGUAGUUUGAAUCAAACAAGACGAGAGGCAGAAUUCUGUGAGCCCCAAGAAUUCCAGGACAUAAACCACCCGCACCCCUGCCCCGUGCUCUGCCCAGCAGGGUUGGUCUGCCACAGCCAGUAGUUAAUGUGUGUGAAAUAACAUGGCAACAUACACCUCUGGAAAGACACGGUUUUUAUUUCUAUGACAUGGGCUCUUUGAGGAAGUAUUUGGUGAAACAAAGUCACAAGGCUCAUAUGAACCCCUGACAGAAUCCAGCCUGGAUGCAGGGCCACAAGGUCUGGAGCACCCAGGAGCCUGCUUCCCGUCCCCGCUGUACUGCGUCCCGGGCCCUCCCCUGCCGACUUCUCUCUGUGUCUGUUUGGUCACUGGAUGUGCUGCAUGCAGACACCUCACUGGACACCUGUCGCUUGUUGAGGGAGACAGAUGUGGGCAUCCACCGCCAGGAGAUGCUCCAUUUCUUACCUACGUCAGCUCCCUCCGGGGCCAUCCUAGGUCCUCCUCUGCCCUGAAAUUGGAGCAUCAAAACUUCCAAGGGCCUCUGGGCAGGAGCCUGCCUGGCUUCACAACAGACACUGUCAUUCUGUUUUCUGACAACACUAUGAUAGGAAGGUCAGGCCUGGAGAUGGAAAAGGUUUCCCCAGGGACACAUGGCCCCAAAAGCCCUAUUCAUAGCCUCAUGGCUCAGGAAAUACAGUCCAGAUAAGACAAUCCUGUCUGUCUACUGGUGCCCAGUAGAAGGGUCCAGUAGGGAUGGCAUCUGUCCAGUCUGCUUGCUGGGCUUUGCAUGCACAUGAGGUCUGCUAGCAAGGAGGGCCUUGUCCUGUUUGCACAGGAGCCUGACAGGUUAGCCCUCUCUUACCUGCUCUCAGUGAGACUAAAAAUAGGUCCUUACUAGAGGGUCCAUGGACACCCCACUGUGAGUCCCGUGUUGCACUCCUGUUGACCAGAACCUGUUCACGGGGACAGAAGGGAGCUGGAGGACCCGCCCAGGCAGCGGGAUGAGCAGGUGGCGAGGGUGAGGCUCAGCUCCCAGCCCCCUGCACAGCUGUCACAGCCGCGGGUCCUAGAGAGGACGGCCCUGCACACACAUGUGUUGGCAUGCAGACACCUACGGACACACGUGGGGAGAUACACACCAACACUGAGGACGCACCCAGGCUCACUGUGGUGGACACAGGAACACCCCACUUGUCUCCACUGGUGACAAAGGACUCACUUCACCAGCUGCCAGGGCUGCCAGAAGACGGCUGGGGUACCAGCCCUUGGUGGGUGGCCUGGCCAAGGUCACACUGCUUCUGGGAGCCGCACGAGUCCAGCGACUGACAGAGACCGAGAAGCACCCAGCCUCUUCGCCCCAGCUGGGACACCAGCAAGUGCCGUCUCACGCCCAGGGCCAUGUGUGUAUGGGAAGGGCGUGACCCCAUUCCUUGGCCUUGGCUUGCUGGCCUCGUUCCCAGAUGUCUUUGUUCUUGGUUCCUCACUUGCUGUUUCACCCACCAGGUCCCCAGGGACCCGCUGUGGUAGGUGCCCGAUGACCAGUAAUCGCGGGCUGAAGCCUGGCUGGAUGAAGAGGCUGGUGGCUGAGUGCUGGGCCCUGCAGAGCAGACGCCCGCACGGGGUGGGAGGUUAGGGUGAGUCACCGCCAGGACGCUUCCGACCCCAACUAUGACUCACUCCAUGGCCUCUGCUCCCCACCCCUCGCCCCUUCCUGUCUUCCCUGCCCUGUCCCUGACCUCGGUCUGUGUGUCCUGGAGGCCCAGGUCUUGCUGUCUGCACAGCCACGCUUCUGCUUGGCUCCUCUGUGACAGUCCCCGAGGGACCUGGGCCCCAGCCAGCCCCUUCCGCCUGCUGCCUGCGCUACCUCACGGUGUCCUGUGCCCGGAGGCCCUCUCACAGCCUCCCUGCCCUCUGGGGUCCUGCGUUCCUUCAGGAUCCUGACCAGCAGGGGCUCGCCUGGGCGCCAGGCCUGACUCGACGCUCCAUCCUGUGCUGCUCAGCCACUGCUUCCCCCCGUCAGACCGCGCUGCCUGCCGUGGACGCAUGUCCCCUGAGUGUCUGAUGUCUCCGCUGUCCCAGCUCCUGGCCCAGUGUCUGGCAUACAGAGAGCCUCAAUAAUGUGGAACGAAUGGAUGAAUGAAUGGUUCUGUGCCUGCUUCUUCCCCAUGACCCUCUUCUGAGAUUCCUCGGGGUGGGACACGUGCUCAUUGGUGGAAUGGGGGCCGCACUGUCCUGGGGGCAGCAGGAGGGCGUGGGAAGACUGCCCUGGGUCCCUUUUCAGCAGCGGGAAACCAAGAAUACUUGAGUCUCACUUCCCUUGACUUUAGCCUCUUACCCUGACUGGUGGUCCCCUGCGAUGCCCACGCCCUGCCUGGCCCUGCCCACUCCUCUCUCCUCUCUGUGCGCCAGGAGCUGAGCGCGCCCCUUCUGGCUCGCACGACAAGAAUUCUGCCAUCUGAGUCACUCGGGCUUCUGCCUGGUGGCUCCGUGUCAUGUCAGAUGUUCUCCGGCUCAGUCUGCAGUGUCCAGGAGGGAGCGCGUGGCUGAGUCCUCCGUGAUACAUCCCCUCCCGGAAGGCGAGUUCAGCUUUCACUCCAGGGGCCAGAGAGCCUCCCAGUGCCCGGGCAGGGCAGGCUCUACAGGGGACAGGCGGAUCCCCCACAGGAGCCCUGGCCUGGCUCAGAUGGAUGGGGAGCUUCAGGGACUCCCCUGG